GCACCUGUAACUCAGUGGACGAGAGUGUCACGCUUCGAACGUGAAAGUCGGGGGUUCGAAUCCCUCCAGGUGCUCCA
rnacentral:tRNA from 1 species